GCCAGCGUGGUGGAGCGGUUAACAUGUCACCAGUAUUUCUCAGCCUUUUCUGUUUUGUGGUGAAGACCUCGGUUCGAUUCUGAGCGCUGGCA